rnacentral:misc_RNA from 1 species
GCAACUGCAGAAUCAAAGCCUGUGGAUAACAUUGUUGGUGCAGGAAAACUUGAUUCUGGAGUUGUUCAGACUGGUGAUGUGGUAGCUGUUACUGAGGAAAUUAAAGAAGCUGAUCCUGAAACUGUUAAUAAAAGUCUGGACACCAAGGAUGUUGAAGUGGAACCUGAGCAGGCAGUGUCUGGAACUAUAUAUGCCAAUGGUGACCAUUCCGGAGAAAGCGUCGAGCGAGAUGUAGUGGAAGUUGAAGUCUCUGGUCAAACAUCUGCUAUAUCAAGGUCAAUCACUGGCUCAGAGCAAGAAGGAGAAGCUAAAGAUCAUAUAGAUGAAGAAGCUAACCUUGAAGGCUCAGUUUCAGAUGGAGAGACAGAUGGUAUGAUUUUUGGAAGCUCUGAAGCU